GACACCUAACGGGCCCUCCGAGGUCAACUGUUCUUAUGAGUGGGAACCAGUCUGAGUUCUGGACAAGUCCAUGAUGGGUUGAGGCAAAACACGGGGAGAAGAGAGGGAGCUUCCCCUGGUCCUACUCACGGGAGAUUUUGCAAGCAGACUGGCUGCUGAAGCUCUGUUUCCUUUCAGACUGCCUUACAGACACCCUUAAGUGUUUAAAAUGUGUUUGAAAUUUACUAACUGACAGCCAUUUUCCAGCAGUGCUUCCCUUGAGGCUGAGAACUCCAUGAGGGCGAAGAGUAAAUCUGUUUUGUUCCUUGUCAUGCUCCACAUGCAGCUCACUGGUUGGCACCUGGCAGAUCAGAAGGCCUAUGAAGGCAGGACCAGCAUUGGUUUUGCUCAAUGUUGUGUCUCCAGUACAUCCUAGAAAAAGUGAUCACAACUUUGACCUUCAGUGAUUAUUUGUUUAAGCAACAAAUGGAUGAACGGAUCAUUAUUGUUAUUAGUUAUUCAAAACGCCCAACGUACUUGGCCCUCCAAGUCUAUGUUCUUCAAGAGAAGAAAAGAAAACCAGAAACUCCAAUGACAGUGUGCUGCUCCUGAAGUGAACUGUUGCAUAGCAAUCAGUGCAGCAGUUUGUCCUCAGGAAGGACGGGCCUCUACAGGACUCAAGCCACUUGUUUCACUCUUAACCUUCCAACAGACCUCCAGUGAUUGUGAAGUCAUCUUCUUGCAUUCUGUGCCAACUUUGCACUCCCAGUACAGCCAUUGGAACUUACUGGAGUAUCAUUACCCCAUAAAUAUCUCCAUGUCCUCUCCCACCAAGCCUGGUUCUGCAGGGGGCGUCUCAUUUGCAUCUGAAGGUAUCAAAAUCUUGCUGAGCAAGCCUCUUCCAUCCCAAAACAUCUUUUGAGAUCUGAGGUCAGCACCAUUUUAACGUGAUGCUUCUUGCUUUCCCUGAGGCCUGUUCCAGGAAGAUACUGCAUGCAAAUUAGACCUGAUAUCACCAGACUCCUCACAGCCACAAGAAGAAUGAACCUGGAGAUGUGAAGCCUGGUUCGCCUGCCGAGUCACGGUGUUACCUCUGGGCGAGUCCUGUCUCCUUUCCCAUGGCCUGUGGGGCUGGCCAGGCUCUAGAGCAUCUUGGUUCCCUCUGGUGUCCUUUCCCACUGCACACAAACUAGCACACAGCACACAAAGCCCCCAUCCUGCAGGCAUGCCAACUGGACUCUUUCAGAUGCGAAUCACCUGGUUUAAGCAUGAAGAAUGAAGGGAAACCUUAACUGGACACAAGUCUCAGAAAGGCUGAGGAGCAGGGGCUGCU